rnacentral:tmRNA from 1 species
GGGGGCGACAGGCUUCGACAGGAGUCCUGGACGAUCGACCGGAUGCCAUGCCGGGCUUCUCUAUGCAGCUCGUUAAAAAGCGUAGGGAAAAACAAUUGCCAAUAACAAUGAAUUGGCUCUCGCUGCCUAAUUAAGCACCGAGCGUCUCACCGCAAGUUGCUCAUGCGAGCGGA